ACCUGAAACCGUCUGCUUACAAGCCGUUCGAGGGCUAUGCAUUGCACGCCUGAGAGCGUUCCUUUUGAAUGAUGAGUCCGCGAGUUGCGGUAUGUCGCAAGGUUAAGCCGAAAGGUGUAGCCGCAGGGAAACCGAGUUCUAAGUGAGCGACAGAGUGGCAUGCCGCAGACCCGAAGCGUUGUGAUCUACACGUGUCCGGGAUGAAGCGCGGGUAAUACCGCGUGGAGGUCCGAAUCCACCAAAGUUGAAAAUUUGGGGAAUGAGGUGCGUGUAGGGGUGAAAGGCUAAUCAAACUGCGUGAUAGCUGGUUCUCCUCGAAAAAUAUUUAGGUAUUGCCUCGGAACAUUCACUGUCGGAGGUAGAGCACUGAAAGGGCUAGGGGGCCUACCAGCCUACCAAACCUUAUCAAACUCCGAAUGCCGGCAAGUGUUAUUCCGGGAGGCAGUCUACGAGUGAUAAGAUUCGUGGACGAGAGGGAAAGAGCCCAGAUCGCCAGCUAAGGUCCCCGAAUCUAUGCUAAGUGGAGAACGAUGUGGGAGCGCUUAGACAACCAGGAGGUUGGCUUAGAAGCAGCCAUCCUUCAAAGAAAGCGUAACAGCUCACUGGUCUAGCGAACCUGCGCGGAAAAAAUAACGGGGCUCAAGCAUAGUACCGAAGCUGCGGGUUCUUCGUAAGAAGAGCGGUAGAGGAGCAUUGAAGUUGCCUGCGAAGGUCGACCGUGAGGACGGCUGGAGGCCCUUCAAGAGAGUAUGCGGACAUAAGUAGCGAUAAAACGAGUGAGAAACUCGUUCGCCGAAAACCCAAGGUUUCCUGGGCAAGGUUCAUCCUCCCAGGGUUAGUCGGGUCCUAAGCUGAGGCCACACGGCGUAAGCGAGGGGAAGCAGGUUAAUAUUCCUGCACGAGCAAUUCAGCGUAGAAACUAGCAGGGACGGAGAAGGGCAGACGAGCCAACGGCUGGAAUAGUUGGUUCAAGCGCGUAGGGGUCUAGGAUACGAUCAAAAGGUUCUAGAGAUAUCCCCGAGACGUAAUGAGGGUCCGCGACUUCGGUCAAGGACGAACUCGUCGAUCCCAAGCUUCCAAGAAAAGCUGCGAGUGGAGCUGCGUUGGUCCCCGUACCGGAAACCGACACAGGUGGGUAGGUGGAGAACACCAAGGCGCUUGAGAGAACUCUGGUGAAGGAACUCUGCAUAUUAACACCGUAACUUCGGGAUAAGGUGUGCCUUUCGUGGUGGAGCGCCUCGCGCGCCGAGCCUCGAAGGGUCGCAGCUAAGCGGGGGUAGCGACUGUUUACCUAAAACACAGGCUUCUGCUAAGUCGAAAGACGACGUAUAGGAGCUGACUCCUGUCCGGUGCCGGAAGGUUAAGGGGACUGCUCAGUGCAAACGAAGGCAUGAACCGAAGCCCCGGUAAACGGCGGCCGUAACGAUAACGGUCCUAAGGUAGCGAAAUUCCUUGGCGGGUAAGUUCCGUCCUGCACGAAUGGAGCAACGACUUCCCCACUGUCUCCACCAGAGACUCAGCGAAAUUGAACUCGCGGUGAAGAUACCGCGUUCCCGCGGAGGGACGGAAAGACCCCAUGAACCUUCACUGCAACU
rnacentral:rRNA from 1 species